GACGAACGCUGGCGGCAUGCCUAACACAUGCAAGUCGAACGGAAAUUAUUUCGGUACUCUUAGUGGCGGACGGGUGAGUACGGCGUGGGCAACCUGCCCUCUAGAUGUGGACAAUAUCGCGAGAGGGGUGCUAAUACCGAAUGUGACAGCAAUCUCGCAUGAGGAUGCUGUGAAAGAUGACCUCUAGUUAUUAGGUAUCGCUAGAGGAUGGGCCUGCGUCUGAUUGGCUAGUUGGUGGGGUCACGGCCUACCAAGGCGAUGAUCCGUAUCCGGUUUGAGAGGAUGGACGGCCCAAAUGGGACCGAGACCAGGCCCAGGACCCCAAGGGAGGGAGCAGUGGGGAAACAUCCGCCAUGGGCGACAGCCUUAAUGCAGAAAGCCGGGUGAGUGAUGAAGGAAUUCGUGGCUUUAAGGCCUUUUGUUUAUGACGAAUGUGCAGAAGGUUAACAAUGAGCUGUACUGACGGUAGUAAACGAAUAAGCAACGGCUAACUACGUG
rnacentral:rRNA from 1 species